GCCAGACUCCUACGGGAGGCAGCAGUGAGGAAUAUUGGUCAAUGGGCGCGAGCCUGAACCAGCCAAGUCGCGUGAGGGAGGACGGCCCUACGGGUUGUAAACCUCUUUUGCCGGGGAGCAACGGGCGUCACGUGUGGCGCCACUGAGAGUACCCGGAGAAAAAGCAUCGGCUAACUCCGUGCCAGCAGCCGCGGUAAUACGGAGGAUGCGAGCGUUAUCCGGAUUUAUUGGGUUUAAAGGGUGCGUAGGCGGAUUUUUAAGUCAGCGGUAAAAUGUCCGGGCUCAACCCGGGCCGGCCGUUGAAACUGGGGGUCUUGAGUGGGCGAGAAGUAUGCGGAAUGCGUGGUGUAGCGGUGAAAUGCAUAGAUAUCACGCAGAACUCCGAUUGCGAAGGCAGCAUACCGGCGCCCGACUGACGCUGAGGCACGAAAGCGUGGGGAUCGAACAGGAUUAGAUACCCCCGUAGGU
rnacentral:rRNA from 1 species